UACGUAGGGGGCGAGCGUUGUCCGGAUUUAUUGGGCGUAAAGAGCUCGUAGGCGGUUUGGCAAGUCGGGUGUGAAAACUCCGGGCUCAACCCGGAGACGCCACUCGAUACUGCUAUGACUUGAGUCCGGUAGGGGAGUGCGGAAUUCCUGGUGUAGCGGUGAAAUGCGCAGAUAUCAGGAGGAACACCGGUGGCGAAGGCGGCACUCUGGGCCGGUACUGACGCUGAGGAGCGAAAGCGUGGGGAGCGAACAGG
rnacentral:rRNA from 1 species